ACGAACGCUGGCGGCAUGCCUAACACAUGCAAGUCGAACGAGACCUUCGGGUCUAGUGGCGCACGGGUGCGUAACGCGUGGGAAUCUGCCUCCAGGUACGGAAUAACAGCUAGAAAUGGCUGCUAAUACCGUAUGAUGACGUAAGUCCAAAGAUUUAUCGCCUGAAGAUGAGCCCGCGUAGGAUUAGCUAGUUGGUGAGGUAAAGGCUCACCAAGGCGACGAUCCUUAGCUGGUCUGAGAGGAUGAUCAGCCACACUGGGACUGAGACACGGCCCAGACUCCUACGGGAGGCAGCAGUGGGGAAUAUUGGACAAUGGGCGAAAGCCUGAUCCAGCAAUGCCGCGUGAGUGAUGAAGGCCUUAGGGUUGUAAAGCUCUUUUACCCGGGAAGAUAAUGACUGUACCGGGAGAAUAAGCCCCGGCUAACUCCGU
rnacentral:rRNA from 1 species